rnacentral:sRNA from 1 species
CGUGAUCCCGUUAUUGUGGAUCCUGGGACACAACCGCAAUGCCCAGCGAUCUCUACAGGAGGAUCUAGAGUCGUCGAGAGACAUAAGACAGGACGUCUAGCUGGGGCAUUUUGCUGUUGUGGUGUGCUUGGCCUGAGUUCUGCCUACAUACGUCGACAUUCAUGAAUCAUGUUAUGCUUUUGCUUCUAUACAUGCUGCUUGUAAUGAGUUCACUGUUUCAGUAAUGAAGCUUUCGGGCCAUUAACCAUUUAGCAGACCUGGACGUCUACACCCUUUAUAGUUGUCUUUCUUCAGUAGUAACAGCAACACCCAGUACAUGAAAACCCAUGACGAUUGC